CCUACGGGGCGCAGCAGUGAGGAAUAUUGGUCAAUGGGAGAGAUCCUGAACCAGCCAAGCCGCGUGAGGGAAGACGGCCCUAUGGGUUGUAAACCUCUUUUGUCGGAGAACAAAACCCGGGACGUGUCCCGGACUGCGUGUAUCCGAAGAAAAAGCAUCGGCUAACUACGUGCCAGCAGCCGCGGUAAUACGUAGGGGGCAAGCGUUAUCCGGAUUUACUGGGUGUAAAGGGAGCGUAGACGGCCGUGCAAGUCUGAUGUGAAAACCCGGGGCUCAACCCCGGGACUGCAUUGGAAACUGCAUGG
rnacentral:rRNA from 1 species